CGGACCCACGGCACACUAAAACAUGUCCUCACUCUAUUCUCUCAUUACUCUCACACUGGGAAACACUGCCGCCCAGCUUUCUCAUGCAGAGCCUACAUUGAUGCAGUUUCUUCAUUCGACUGGCUUUUGACUUACCCACCCAGACUAACCUCAGUUAACCUAGCCAUGCGAGAAAAGAACAGAAAUAACAUAAUAAAAAUGAGGACAAAAUAAAGCCACUGUCUGAAAGCAUGAUAAGUGAUCAAAAAACAUUCUUGUGUCCCUGAAAAAGGAUGUGCAGCAAUCCCAGCAGCCCCCGCUCUUUGACAUUUCACCGUGAUUGACGUCAUUAGUGAAAAGGGUGUAGCUUGGGUAAAGAUCUGGGCUGGUAACCAAAAGAUCAAAGGUUUUCUUGCUGAAAUCACUUUGGAUAAAAGCGUCGGCUAAAUGACAGAUGAGUAAUUUGCUGUGUCUUUUUGCUUGUUAGAAUUUUUGGGUUUAUUUUUUUAAUUUUUUUAUUGGCUUAUUGACUUUGGUGUCUAUGGGCAAUUAAAGGACUAGAUUGAAGGGUCUUGCCCAGUCAAAUAACUAUAUAAUAUUAGAUAAGGGGAAUAGUAGAAUACUAACUUGUACCAUAACUGGAUCAGAAAGCAGAAGGUUUGUUGUUUUGGUUCAUAAGCAAUACAAUUUAUUAUACAUGAAACUUCCUGAAGCAUGCAUGUGGAUGUUUACAAUGCAGUUGCAUUUAGAUACUGUGACUUCUCUCUUGUUUAGAAAUGUUGAGUAUAAAUGUUGUAUUUUGAGUUCACCCAAGUAUAAUCAUAUUUAAACACCCACAUAAAAAUGCAUUUCUCUCUGUCUCAUUGUUUCCUCAUCAAAUAUAUAAUGCCUGCCUUACACACACAUCUUAAAUUCAGGCAGUUUUUGAUUCCUGUGCUGUUCUUUCCUUUGAAGCUCCACCCACUUCCCAUUUCUAGACAGUCUACUUCUGAACUUCCUGUGAUGUGCAAGCCAAGACUUACAAUUUGGUGCUGGUUAUCAGGAAGACAGGAUGCCAUGCAAAUUAAAGGGUAGUGAAAUAAACAGAGUGAUAGCGUCUGUUCCAGAAGGCACAACAUGCAAACAUCUGCUGUGAACUGGUCUGAGAAUCAGUUGGAUCCGCUCCCAUUACCCUCCAACAAAUAUUUACUGCCCUAUUAGGACCUUCCCUAGUACCCAUCAUAACAGAGCUGCCCACUAAAGGGCCUGAUGGUGAACCCUAAGAAGCUGCCAUGUUAGAGCUGCUGCAGGCCCCGGUUCUGUGGGAAUAGCAAAAUGAACGCCAUUACACCUGACAGCAUAUUCAGUUCCUCAGACAUCAUUGUGACAGACCUGGUCCCAUGAUCGGCCUAAUAAUUAAAGCUAUCCUGCAACCGGCGCCGUACUGCUGUGCUGCAUGCGCAUCAGGGGCCCAUGACAUGAUACAGAGGGACAGCUUAACUAUUAAAUAUCCAUCACGCCACGCCACAUCAGUCCUAAUGCAAUCAGAAACACAUGACUACAUCGCCCGGGCCCCCACUUCAAUCCACAAUGAUUAAAUGACAGUUCGAUUUGAUUGGGAAGAGGGGGGAUCUACUGUAGCUGCGCAGACUUAUUCGAGGCUUUGUGUACUUCAGAGAGAACGCACGUGGGCUGUGGUCUUUUUGCUGUAUUAUCAUUUUAAUGAAGCAGGGUAUUUCUUUUGUGGUCGGGAGGCUCUAAUGCAGUUGUCCAAGACUCCCCUUUCAUCUGUCUUCUUCAAAUGCUCGAGGUUGUUAAACAAAUGGAUGUGUCUGAGUAUAUAACGCUGAUGUGGCCAGGCUGUUGUUGACUGGGCCAAUUAGGGCUCAGAGAGAAAAGAAUAAGGCAUGUCUGUUCACUCACUCAAACCGUCAUACAAUACAGUCUGGCUGCUUUGUGUUUAUUAAAAUCACCUGGAUCCUUAAGGAUUUUGUAGAACACACCGUAGUAUGACAUUGCUAUCUGACGAUUUUCAUUAUCAGGACUUCCUGUACUGUUUUUAUCUUGCUAAUUAGCAUCUAAUUAUAAUAAAAAUGUUUUCCUCCUACCUGAUAUGUCAUGAAUUACCCGAUACCGUUGUCUCCGUGUUUAAAUGAGUGAGCAUCUUUAGAAAAAUGUUUAAUUUUACACCCAAGAGAUGAUAAUGAUGCAUACCUGUUUUCUUUAGUCGUAAUGAGAAUGCUGAAAUACGACAACGCUGAUUUCUCAAUGUGCUAAUUACUGAGCAAGUGCUGAUGCGCUAGUGGCUAAAGAUGUAUCCAAGUAAUAUUGUCAGUCAUGUUCUUUUCCAUAACGUCCACAACAAAAAUAGUUUUUGAAGAAAUAUGGUAGUUACGCUUUAAAAUAUAACAUUUUGAAAAUGCAUAGCAAGAAUUGCAUUAAUACAAUUUAAGAGUGUUAAUUUCAUUCAAUAAAUGCAAAUUUGAUGUUUAUUUAUUAAAGUUAAAUGCACUCAUAAUGGUUGUUCGCUCUUUGUAAUUGUAAUUCAUUUGUCUCCUUAUUCCCACUCUUUGAGCUUAGUAAAAAUAUAUUCCUUGUAUUUGGUUUUGCAGACAUAAUAUAUAUAUUUUUUUUGUAACAUAAAAUACAUAAUUUUUAACUGUUUUCUCCUUCAGAAGUUUAAUACGUUUUGUGGCUGUUUUAAGAUCUGAUUUGAUAGCAGUAUUAAAAAGUAAAAAAUUGUUCCUGGUUGUAUGAAUAUCUCUAGACAAGACAGAGGAAAGGUCUAAUGAAGGAAAGCAGAGUGCAAAUAUGUACAUUUAGCAUAAAUAUUCUGUUUUAUUAUUGUUUUUGUAUUUUUUUUUUUUUCCAUGCUUUUAACAGUUGUCUUGCUUGGUGGUGUUUACAUAUAAUCUCAUGUCCCUUUUGAAGGCAGUCCUUCCUUGUUUGUAAAAUAAAUUUGUAUUGACUAAUAUUGGUAUGUAAAUAUAAAAUAUAACAGUUCACAUUAUAGAGCUUUUGAGUACGCUGUUACAUGUAUGACAUACCACCUUUGUAUACUUACAUUUACUUUUCACAUGAUUAAGUUAUAAAUGUAAUUGACACUAUAAUAUGACUAAUAAGAUAUUUGACAGAAUUUAUUAAAACGAUUUUCUAAAUAAAUGAAUGAAAC
ensembl:lncRNA